rnacentral:snRNA from 1 species
CCAGCUCUCUUUGCCAUUUAUUUGGCUUAGAUCAAGUGUAGUAUCUGUUCUUUUCAGUUUAAUCUCUGAAACGCCUCUACGGAGGCAUUCUUGAUUACUCUACUAUUUGGACCUGGGGUGACGGCCGCUGAGCUUGCUCAUGUCGCUGCCCACAGUGUCGCCCUUAUUGCACUGUCUCGGGCUGACGCGAACUUUC